rnacentral:lncRNA from 1 species
AUAAAUUCAUUUAAAGCAUAAAAGACGAGUUAAAAGAGCAACGGGCGUAUCAUGCGCUAAAGCGCAGCCCUUUAUUGAUUAUUGUCUUAAAUAUUAUUAUAGAUAGAGAUAAACUGUAAACAGCAAUAAUGUUCUACAAUGUAAGAUCUACAAAUAGGUCAACAUGGCCAAAAUAGUCAGUUGACCCCUUAUAUAAGGAGUUAUUGCCCUUUAUAGUAAUUUUUUACCAAUUUUUUGUAAAUUUUUGUUAUGGUCUGUUUUAAACUUAGCCACAAUCAUUAUUGGGGUAUCUAGUUUUAAAAAUGUGUCCGGUGAACUGAUCAACUGACCAAGAUGGCCACCAUGGCUAAAAAUAGAACAUAUGGGUAAAAUGUAGAUUUUUGCUUAUAAUCCUGAAACCAAAUCAUUUAGAGCAAAUCAGACCGAGGUUAAUUUUUUAUCAAGUCAAGGUCUAUCUGUCGUGAAAUUUUCAGAUGAAUUGGACAUUCAGUUGUUGGGUGGCUCCCCUGAAUUGGUAUUUUGUAAGGAAGUUUUGCCGUUUUUGGUUCUUAUCUUGAAUAUUAUUAUAGAUAGAGAUAAACUGUAAAAAGCAAUAAUUUUAAGCAAAGUAAGAUCUACAAAUAAGUCAACCUGAUCAAAAUGGUCAGUUGACCCCUUAAGGAGUUAUUGCCCUUUAUAGUAAUUUUUUAUCAAUUUUUCGUAAUUUUUUGUAAUCUUUUACAAAAAUAUUCUCUGAAACUACUGAGCCAAAUUUAACCAAACUUGGCCACAAUCAUCAGUUGAACCCUUUAGGAGUUAUUGCCCUUUACAGUAAGUUUUUGUAAAUUUUAACAAAAUAUUUUUCAGUGUAGCUAAUGGGCCAAGUUCAUUAUAGACAGAGAUAAUUGAAAGUAGCAAGAAUGUUCAGUAAAGUACAAUCUACAAACACAUCGCCAUCACAAACAACGAGCGACACAGUCUCUAGUUUUUUGUCUGCUGUUUUUGCAAUAUUUGCUCCAGUGGAAAUAUUAUUCCAGAACUUUGUAGUAUUUCUGGAUGGUAGGGGUAACAGUUCUCCUGUUUUUUUAUACAGCACCCGAUUUUAAACAAUGUAUGAUUCUAUACAACGUACGAUUUUAUACAAUAUAUAAUUUUAUACAUUGCAUGAUUUUACAGUCUUGUCAUGUUGUCAUCAGUUGUUUUUUAACAUGAUUUUUUGAAUUGCUUUAAAACAGUAUCUCUAAAUUUUAUCAUUGUGUAUAACAUGCUAUACAAAAUGCAGUCAUAUGUAAUGAGUAAAUGGAUUGCUUGUUCUAUAUUUUUUUUAUACACUUUUAACUAAUUUUGAUAAUAUAUUAAAUUAUAGACAGUAAUUCAUGUUUUGAAAACAAACCCCUCCCAAAAUUUCAAUUGUAAAGGUAUUAUUGAUUAAAGAAUUGUCUAUUUCAGUUAGAUAAUUAAUAUUAAUGUAAUAAUUCUUUGCUAUAGUUCCUACAGUUAACAUAUAAACUGAGUCAGAUAGAAGUUGUCCAUAUGUAUGAUAUGUGCACAUGUACAUGUAUACGACUUUGAUUGAUUUGGAAAAUUCAAAUUCAAAAUAAAAGAUUAAUUUUUGGCGGUUUUGUAUGGUUCUUAUAACAACUAAAUUUUCAACAAUUUUUUUUUCAAACAGUUACAUACUUUCCGAAUAGAUUUGAUUCAACCUGAAUAAGGUUAACAGAUGUAUUGUUAUUUAUAUGUAUUACUUGUAGGACAAUUUCUGUCUGACACAACUCAUAUCAUGUGGAAUUUUGUUCCUAAACAAAGCAUUGCUAAGGACAUAGAAAUACUGACGUCCCGUUGUCCUGUCUUGUAAAAGAAGGAAGGACACCAGGGGGCAUUCAAACUCAUAAGUCAAAAAUAAACUGACAAUUUAAACCAUUGCUAAAAAAGAAAAAGACUACAGACUAAAAAAGAAAAGGAUUAACAGACAAUCAACAGAACACAGUAGUCACACAACAUAGAAAACUAUAGACUGAGCAACACGACCCCACAAAAACUUGGGGUGAUCUACAAAGAAAUGGACAGUCACAAUUUGAAAGCUGAAAUCAUUUCUUUUGUUGUAAGGGUUUGAUUUUUACCAACCCCUUUUGUAAAUUUCUAGAUGUAAGGCAAAAUAUGAGGUAGGCUAAAAUAUAUCUGUUGUAUCCGUUAUCUCAAAUUCGUGGCAUAGAAUAAAUGUAAAAUAAUAGAUGCAUAAAGUGAAUAUGGCAAAAGAAUUUUGGCCCCUUUUUUCCUGAACUGUUAGUCACAACUUCCAAUGUCAAUUCCAAGAUAUCCAUUUUGGUAUGGAACCUUGUGUCAAUAUUUGUAUUAUAAACAGGUAUUUAGUUAACACAGCUUCAAAAAGGAAAGAUUUUUUUUUAAUUGUACUGAAUUUCAGUAAGUUUAUAGUUAGGACAAGUAUUUUUUGUUGAUUAUUUUUCCAUGUAUUUAUUUUUCUGUACCAUUCGUGUUUACACUGUUUUU